rnacentral:rRNA from 1 species
UACGAAGGGGGCUAGCGUUGCUCGGAAUCACUGGGCGUAAAGCGCACGUAGGCGGCUUCUUAAGUCGAGGGUGAAAUCCUGGAGCUCAACUCCAGAACUGCCUUUGAUACUGAGAAGCUUGAGUCCGGGAGAGGUGAGUGGAACUGCGAGUGUAGAGGUGAAAUUCGUAGAUAUUCGCAAGAACACCAGUGGCGAAGGCGGCUCACUGGCCCGGUACUGACGCUGAGGUGCGAAAGCGUGGGGAGCAAACAGG